rnacentral:rRNA from 1 species
UACGGAGGGUGCAAGCGUUAUCCGGAUUCACUGGGUUUAAAGGGUGCGUAGGUGGGUUGGUAAGUCAGUGGUGAAAUCUCCAGGCUUAACUUGGAAACUGCCGUUGAUACUAUCUGUCUUGAAUAUCGUGGAGGUAAGCGGAAUAUGUCAUGUAGCGGUGAAAUGCUUAGAUAUGACAUAGAACACCCAUUGCGAAGGCAGCUUACUACACGAUCAUUGACGCUGAGGCACGAAAGCGUGGGGAGCAAACAGG